GGGGUAGUACCGGAUUCGACGGGGACUUUAAACCCGGAUAAGCCAUCCAUGUACCGAUACAUGUAAAAAGCCGGAAAUCUAAACAUAAACGCUGAAGAUAAUUUAGCAUACGCUGCUUAAUGCAGCGCGGUAACUCCCCUGUUCCCGUACAGCGGAUGCUUACCGUCGACUUUACGGGGAACUGCUCUGCGUAAGCUUUGCCGCAGAGACGGAUCCAUGAAGCUACCUAAACAGCGUCCCCUGCUUACCGGGGUACGCUUGCGGGAAUAGAAGUAGAUAAGCUAUGAUGGUAGAAAGUCCGGCGGAGGGGUUUUCGGACGCGGGUUCGACUCCCGCCUGCUCCACGA
rnacentral:tmRNA from 1 species